rnacentral:rRNA from 1 species
CUGGCGGCGUGCCUAAUACAUGCAAGUCGAACGGUCUUUCUAUGGAAGCUUGCUUCCACUGAGAAGGUAGUGGCGAACGGGUGAGUAACACGUGGGUAACCUGCCCAUAAGAGGGGGGAUAACAUCCGGAAACGGGUGCUAAUACCGCAUAGUUUUCUUGAUCGCAUGAUCGGGAAAGGAAAGACGGCCUUUGUGCUGUCGCUUAUGGAUGGACCCGCGGCGUAUUAGUUAGUUGGUGAGGUAACGGCUCACCAAGACGAUGAUACGUAGCCGACCUGAGAGGGUGAUCGGCCACAUUGGGACUGAGACACGGCCCAAACUCCUACGGGAGGCAGCAGUAGGGAAUCUUCCGCAAUGGACGAAAGUCUGACGGAGCAACGCCGCGUGAGUGAAAGAAGGUUUUCGGAUCGUAAAACUCUGUUGUCAGAGAAGAACAAGUUGGAGAGUAACUGCUCCAGCCUUGACGGUAUCUGACCAGAAAGCCACGGCUAACUACGUGCCAGCCGCCGC